AUGGUGUCCCACUUCCCCUCACUGGCCGGCCUCCUCGCCAGCCGCCUGCUGGUUCUCUACGCCACCACGUGGUCCGCAGUCGCUGCCAUGUCCAUGGCUGUUACGGCUCUCGCGCCCGAGAUCGCCUAUGUCUGGGGCAUCGCGUCGGGUUCGCUGCUCACCAAGGCGAGCCCAGCCAGCAAAUUUGCCGGAGGCAGCAUCAGCCUGCCACUUGACGGCUGCCCAUGCCUGACAUGGUCGUUCCGUGCUGGCCUCUUCUGCCGGGCCGUGCCUGACAUGGUCAUUCCGUUCAUGUUCGCUGUCGUGGUGAUCACCAGCGUCGUCGGGUUCACCGCCGCCGUGGGCGUCUGGGAGGACGACAAUGAGGUAUUGAGGUAG
rnacentral:rRNA from 1 species